rnacentral:rRNA from 1 species
AGGUGGGGAUGACGUCAAGUCAGCAUGGCCUUUAUGUCUGGGGCUACACACGUGCUACAAUGGCAGAUACAAACCGUCGCGAUGCCGCAAGGUGGAGCUAAUCGGAGAAAGUCUGUCUC